rnacentral:rRNA from 1 species
CGGGUGAGUAACGCGUAUCCAACCUUCCGUACACUCAGGGAUAGCCUUUCGAAAGAAAGAUUAAUACCUGAUGGUAUGAUGAGAUUGCAUGAUAGCAUCAUUAAAGAUUUAUCGGUGUACGAUGGGGAUGCGUUCCAUUAGGUAGUAGGCGGGGUAACGGCCCACCUAGCCAACGAUGGAUAGGGGUUCUGAGAGGAAGGUCCCCCACAUUGGAACUGAGACACGGUCCAAACUCCUACGGGAGGCAGCAGUGAGGAAUAUUGGUCAAUGGACGAGAGUCUGAACCAGCCAAGUAGCGUGAAGGAUGAAGGUCUUACGGAUUGUAAACUUCUUUUAUAAGGGAAUAAAACCUCCCACGUGUGGGAGCUUGUAUGUACCUUAUGAAUAAGCAUCGGCUAACUCCGUGCCAGCAGCCGCGGUAAUACGGAGGAUGCGAGCGUUAUCCGGAUUUAUUGGGUUUAAAGGGAGCGCAGACGG